rnacentral:rRNA from 1 species
UGGGGAAUAUUGGGCAAUGGGGGAAACCCUGACCCAGCAACGCCGCGUGAAGGAAGAAGGCUUUCGGGUUGUAAACUUCUUUUACCAGGGAAAAACACAAUGAUGGUACCUGGAGAAAAAGCUACGGCUAACUACGUGCCAGCAGCCGCGGUAAUACGUAGGUGGCAAGCGUUGUCCGGAAUUACUGGGUGUAAAGGGCGUGUAGGCGGAACUACAAGUCAGGGGUGAAAACUAUGGGCUUAACCCAUAGCCUGCCUUUGAAACUGUAGUCCUUGAGUGCUGGAGAGGCAAUUGGAAUUCCUAGUGUAGCGGUGAAAUGCGUAGAUAUUAGGAGGAACACCAGUGGCGAAGGCGAAUUGCUGGACAGUAACUGACGCUGAGGCGCGAAAGCGUGGGGAGCAAACAGG